rnacentral:rRNA from 1 species
AGUGAACGCUGGCGGUAGGCCUAACACAUGCAAGUCGAACGGUAGCACAGUAAGAGCUUGCUCUUACGGGUGGCGAGUGGCGGACGGGUGAGGAAUACAUCGGAAUCUACUUUUUCGUGGGGGAUAACGUAGGGAAACUUACGCUAAUACCGCAUACGACCUACGGGUGAAAGCAGGGGAUCUUCGGCCCUUGCGCGAUUGAAUGAGCCGAUGUCGGAUUAGCUAGUUGGCGGGGUAAAGGCCCACCAAGGCGACGAUCCGUAGCUGGUAUGAGAGGAUGAUCAGCAACACUGGAACUGAGACACGGUCAAGAAUCCUACGGGAGGCAGCAGUGGGGAAUAUUGGACAAUGGGCGCAAGCCUGAUCCAGCCAUACCACGUGGGUGAAGAAGGCCUUCGGGUUGUAAAGACCUUUUGUUGGGAAAGAAAAGCAGCAGGUUAAUACCCCGCUGUUCUGACGGUACCCAAAGAAUAAGCACCGGCUAACUUCGUG